GGCGGAUGGCCGGUGCGGUGCAGGCGCCGACGCUGGUCGUCGGGGGUCGGCAGGACCGGCUGGUCGACGUGCGGGUGGCGCCGCAGACCGCCC
rnacentral:tRNA from 1 species